rnacentral:rRNA from 1 species
UGGGGAAUAUUGGACAAUGGGGGCAACCCUGAUCCAGCAAUGCCGCGUGUGUGAAGAAGGUCUUCGGAUUGUAAAGCACUUUCGACGGGGACGAUGAUGACGGUACCCGUAGAAGAAGCCCCGGCUAACUUCGUGCCAGCAGCCGCGGUAAUACGAAGGGGGCUAGCGUUGCUCGGAAUGACUGGGCGUAAAGGGCGUGUAGGCGGUUUACACAGUCAGAUGUGAAAUCCCCGGGCUUAACCUGGGAGCUGCAUUUGAUACGUGUAGACUAGAGUGUGAGAGAGGGUUGUGGAAUUCCCAGUGUAGAGGUGAAAUUCGUAGAUAUUGGGAAGAACACCGGUGGCGAAGGCGGCAACCUGGCUCAUGACUGACGCUGAGGCGCGAAAAGCGUGGGGAGCAAACAGGAUUAGA